rnacentral:rRNA from 1 species
UACGGAAGGUCCGGGCGUUAUCCGGAUUUACUGGGUGUAAAGGGAGCGUAGACGGCGAUGCAAGCCAGAUGUGAAAGCCCGGGGCUCAACCCCGGGACUGCAUUUGGAACUGUGUGGCUGGAGUGUCGGAGAGGCAGGCGGAAUUCCUAGUGUAGCGGUGAAAUGCGUAGAUAUUAGGAGGAACACCAGUGGCGAAGGCGGCCUGCUGGACGAUGACUGACGUUGAGGCUCGAAAGCGUGGGGAGCAAACA